CCUACGGGGGGGGNWGCAGUAGGGAAUCUUCCGCAAUGGACGAAAGUCUGACGGAGCAACGCCGCGUGAGUGAUGAAGGUUUUCGGAUCGUAAAGCUCUGUUGUUAGGGAAGAACAAGUACCGUUCGAAUAGGGCGGUACCUUGACGGUACCUAACCAGAAAGCCACGGCUAACUACGUGCCAGCAGCCGCGGUAAUACGUAGGUGGCAAGCGUUGUCCGGAAUUAUUGGGCGUAAAGGGCUCGCAGGCGGUUUCUUAAGUCUGAUGUGAAAGCCCCCGGCUCAACCGGGGAGGGUCAUUGGAAACUGGGGAACUUGAGUGCAGAAGAGGAGAGUGGAAUUCCACGUGUAGCGGUGAAAUGCGUAGAGAUGUGGAGGAACACCAGUGGCGAAGGCGACUCUCUGGUCUGUAACUGACGCUGAGGAGCGAAAGCGUGGGGAGCGAACAGGAUUAGAUACCCCC
rnacentral:rRNA from 1 species